rnacentral:rRNA from 1 species
GACGAACGCUGGCGGCGUGCUUAACACAUGCAAGUCGAACGGAAAGGCCCUGUCUUUUUGGGGUGGUCGGGUGGCGAAGGGGUGAGUUGCACGUGAGUUACGUACCCUUGACCCUGGGAUAACUUAAGGAAACUGGGGCUAAUCCCGGAUAGGAGCUCCUGCUUCUUGGUGGGGGUUGGUAUGUUUCGGCGGUUGGGGAUGGACUCGCGGCGUAUCAGCCCGUUGGUGGGGUAGUGGCUGAGCAAGGCUUUGACGGGUGGCCGGCCUGAGAGGGUGAGCGGCACAGUCGGGACUGGGAUGCGACCCAGACGCCGAGGGGAGGGAACAGUGGGGAAUAGUGUACAGUAGGCGGGAGGCGGAUGCGACAAAGCCGCGCGCGGGAUGACGGCCUUCCGGUUGUAAACCGCUUCCGCCUGUGACGAAGCGUGAGUGACGGUAACGGGUAAAGAAGCACCGGCUAACUACGUG